AUUGAACGCUGGCGGCAGGCCUAACACAUGCAAGUCGAACGAGUGGCGGACGGGUGAGUAAUGUCUGGGAAACUGCCUGAUGGAGGGGGAUAACUACUGGAAACGGUAGCUAAUACCGCAUACCAUCAGAUGUGCCCAGAUGGGAUUAGCUAGGGGGUGGGGUAACGGCUCACCAAGGCGACGAUCCCUAGCUGGUCUGAGAGGAAGACCGGCCACAUGGGAACGUAGACACGGUCCAGACUCCUACGGGAGUCAGCAGUGGGGAAUAUUGCACAAUGGGCGCAAGCCUUAUGCAGCAAUGCCGCGUGUAUGAAGAAGGCCUUCGGGUUGUAAAGUACUUUCAGCGGGGAGGCGUUACCCGCAGAAGAAGCACCGGCUAACUCCGUGCCAGCAGCCGCGGUAAUAC
rnacentral:rRNA from 1 species